UUUGAUGAAUCCCAGAAGAAGUGUAGCAAGUAUUUAAAGAGGUUGACGAACAACAGUUGACUUGACCGGUCCAAAUAAUUGACAGUUCGCCAAGUAGUCAUAGUAUUCGGACCGACUGCCAUUUGAACGGGACAUAAUCGCCGUCCCGUUUGAAUUCACAUUCAACAACCAUCAACUAAGACCCAGCUAUAUAUGUGGUCAACGAACGCGACUUUUCUAUUACGGCAAGCUGGGAUUGACCUAAAAAAUUGUCAUGCAGAAUACCAUCCAUGACACCCAUAACUUCUCUAAAAUAGGAUGAUCGAUCACCGGAUGGCGCCAAAAAUACUUAUCGAUUUCUAUGUGACAAACAAUUAUUAUCCAUGAAGACUUGAGCACUCAUGAGAACAAAAAUGUUCUGCAACACGAGUUCUUGUGUUGUAAGUGGGAAAAGUUUGAUGCUCCUUCAUGCGAAAGCAGAGACAAACCAAUAAAUACUCUCUUGGACAAAAGCCACCAUUGUUGUUGGGUCUCUGUGGGUGGUCGAACCGUGAUGGACCUUUUGGUUUUGGUUGGUAAGUACUUUUGGAGUCGUGAUCAUUGGUAUUGGUAUUGUUGUUUUGGGAGGAUAUGGAAUCUUAAUAUCGAAAGACUUUUAUAAGAAAAAAA
rnacentral:lncRNA from 1 species